UUAUCCAAAAGAUAUAAAAUGCUGAUUUGAAGGGCCCAUGCACCCCGAUGUUUUUAGGAGUGCUAUCAAAAAUAUCCAGAUUAUGGAAAGAGCCCAAAUGUCUACCAACUGAGGAAUGGAUAAAGAAUAUUGGUCAUAUAAACAUAUAUUU